rnacentral:lncRNA from 1 species
GAGACUGUACGUAUAAGGAAAUAGACACUCAGAGAAGUGAAGCAGUUUGCCCAAAGCUACUCAGCUAGUGAGUGACAGAGCUAGGAUUCAAACCCAUUUUUGUCUGGGGACAAAGCCCUGCCCUUGUCCUUAUGCCAAGCUGCCUCCUUUGUGAGGCAGCUGGUUGUUAUGAUUGUGGCACUGACCACUCAGAUGUUGUGCUCGGAACCAAGCAGAAGAGCACCAAGCCUUAUAGGCCCUGACAGAUGGAUGAAGGAAGGUAUUGCCUCAGCCUGCCUGGGUUCCUCGGGGGAGAGAGGGAGACAGGAAGCAUUAAUGGGGGAAAGGUGUGCCAAGCCUUGCCAAGCAGGUCAUUGUGGGUGGGGAGACACCGCCUACGUGCUCGGGACGCCCCAGGAUUUGGGUGGAGGUUCUUGAGGAGGCAG